AGCAGCCGCGGCAAUUCCAGCUCCAAUAGCGUAUAUUAAAGUUGUUGCAGUUAAAAAAGCUCGUAGUUGAAUUUCGGGGUUAGUAGGUUGGUCAUGCCUCCGGUAUGUACUGAUCUCACUGAUUCCUCCUUCCUUAUGAACCGUAAUGCCGUUAAUUUGGUGUUGCGGGGAAUUUGGACUGUUACUUUGAAAAAAUUAGAGUGUUUAAAGCAAGCUAACGCUUGAAUACAUUAGCAUGGAAUAAUGAAAUAGGACGUUCGAUCCUAUUUUGUUGGUUUCUAGGAUUGACGUAAUGAUUAAUAGGGAUAGUUGGGGGCAUUAGUAUUCAAUUGUCAGAGGUGAAAUUCUUGGAUUUAUUGAAGACUAACUACUGCGAAAGCAUUUGCCAAGGAUGUUUUCAUUAAUCAAGAACGAAAGUUAGGGGAUCGAAGACGAUCAGAUACCGUCGUAGUCUUAACCAUAAACUAUGCCGACUAGGGAUCGGAUGAUGUUAAUUUUUAAUGACUCAUUCGGCGCCUUA
rnacentral:rRNA from 1 species